UACGGAGGGUGCAAGCGUUAUCCGGAUUCACUGGGUUUAAAGGGUGCGUAGGAGGGCAGGUAAGUCAGUGGUGAAAUCUCCAAGCUUAACUUGGAACUGCCGUUGAUACUAUCUGUCUUGAAUACCGUGGAGGUGAGCGGAAUAUGUCAUGUAGCGGUGAAAUGCCUAGAUAUGACAUAGAACACCAAUUGCGAAGGCAGCUUACUUCAACGAUCAUUGACACUGAGGCACGAAAGCGUGGGGAGCAAACAGGA
rnacentral:rRNA from 1 species